rnacentral:rRNA from 1 species
CGGGUGCGUAACGCGUGGGAAUCUACCUUGUAGUGGGGGAUAGCCCGGAGAAAUCCGGAUUAAUACCGCAUAAUCUCUACGGAGCAAAGUGGGGGAUCUUCGGACCUCACGCUAUUGGAUGAGCCCGCGUUAGAUUAGCUUGUUGGUGAGGUAAUGGCUCACCAAGGCAACGAUCUAUAGCUGGUUUGAGAGGAUGAUCAGCCACACUGGGACUGAGACACGGCCCAG